rnacentral:rRNA from 1 species
ACUCCUACGGGAGGCAGCAGUGGGGAAUAUUGGACAAUGGGCGAAAGCCUGAUCCAGCAACGCCGCGUGAGGGAUGACGGCCUUCGGGUUGUAAACCUCUUUCAGCGGGGACGAAGCGAAAGUGACGGUACCCGCAGAAGAAGCACCGGCCAACUACGUGCCAGCAGCCGCGGUAAUACGUAGGGUGCGAGCGUUGUCCGGAAUUAUUGGGCGUAAAGGGCUCGUAGGCGGUUUGUCGCGUCGGGAGUGAAAACACUGGGCUUAACCGAGUGCUUGCUUUCGAUACGGGCAGACUAGAGGUAUGCAGGGGAGAACGGAAUUCCUGGUGUAGCGGUGAAAUGCGCAGAUAUCAGGAGGAACACCGGUGGCGAAGGCGGUUCUCUGGGCAUUACCUGACGCUGAGGAGCGAAAGUGUGGGGAGCGAACAGGAUUAGAUACCCUGGUAGUCCACACCGUAAACGUUGGGCGCUAGGUGUGGGGUCUAUUCCAUGGACUCCGUGCCGCAGCUAACGCAUUAAGCGCCCCGCCUGGGGAGUACGGCCGCAAGGCUAAAACUCAAAGGAAUUGACGGGGGCCCGCACAAGCGGCGGAGCAUGCGGAUUAAUUCGAUGCAACGCGAAGAACCUUACCUGGGUUUGA